AGAGUUUGAUCCUGGCUCAGGACGAACGCUGGCGGCGUGCUUAACACAUGCAAGUCGAGCGAGGCUCCUCCUUCGGGAGGAUGUCCUAGCGGCGAACGGGUGAGUAACACGUGGGCAACCUGCCCCUAGCACUGGGAUAACCCCGGGAAACCGGGGCUAAUACCGGAUACGAACCCCGCAGGCAUCUGCGGAGUUGGAAAGGGUUACUGGCUAGGGAUGGGCCCGCGGCCUAUCAGCUUGUUGGUGGGGUAACGGCCUACCAAGGCUCCGACGGGUAGCCGGCCUGAGAGGGCGACCGGCCACACUGGGACUGAGACACGGCCCAGACUCCUACGGGAGGCAGCAGUGGGGAAUAUUGCACAAUGGGCGAAAGCCUGAUGCAGCGACGCCGCGUGAGGGAUGACGGCCUUCGGGUUGUAAACCUCUUUCAGCUCCGACGAAGCGAAAGGACGUAGAGCAGAAAAGC
rnacentral:rRNA from 1 species